CCUACGGGAGGCAGCAGUGGGGGCUAUUGGACAAUGGGGGAAACCCUGAUCCCGCGAAUCCGCGUGAGUGAAGACGUCUUUCGGUAUGUUAAGCUCUAUCUGCAGGGAAGUAAGAAAUGACGGUACCUGAGUAAGACGCCUCGGCUAAAUAUGUGACACCAGCCGCGGUAAUACGUAGGGCGCAAGCGUUAUCCGGACUUACUGGGUGUAAAGGGAGCGUAGACGGGAAUGCAAGUCUGGAGUGAAAGGCGGGGGCCCACCCCCCGGACUGGUCUGGAAAAUGUGUAACUGGAGUGCAGGUGAGGCAGGCGGAAUUCCUAGUGUAGCGGUGAAAUGCUUAGAUAUUACGAAGAACACCAGUGGCGAAGGCGGCCUGCUGGACUGUAACUGACGUUGAGGCUCGAAAGCGUGGGGAGCAAACAGGAUUAGAUACCCGGGUAGUC
rnacentral:rRNA from 1 species